ACUCGGAACACGAGAAAGCGUAUCGUUUCGGAAGAGAUCAAGAGCGGUCGUGUGCUAGUGAGCCGCGAUGCGCAGUUCAUGGAAGACGUCUUCGACGAAGGGAGACGCAGCCACGUUGAAGAUGACAUCGUGGAGCUUCAAGAAGAAGAAGUGACGGAUCAAGAAGCAUCGUCCGAGGAUGAGACGAUGGGAGACACUGCGCCGCGUCAAGAAUUUGAGCCCGGUAGCAAGCGACACCAGCGAACGCAGUCGUUGGAGGAAGCGGUAGAGAUCCCGCGGAGCAAGCGACAGAGUCGGCCGCAGACGCUGGAGGAGAUGUCAGCGGUCGCAAGUGGUCGAGAUGAAGAUUUCGAAGCGGCCUACGUUGUGAAUUCAGUGGGAGAAAUGCCGACUACGUUCAAGUCGGCGAUGGAAUCCAGCAACGCGGCCAAGUGGAAGGAAGCGUGCAACUCAGAAGUCGACUCUCUUCGCAAGAACGAGACAUGGUCGUUGGUGCCAUUGCCACAAGGUCGAAAGGCAAUCGGUUGUCGUUGGGUGUUUCGCAUCAAGGAGAACCAAGCGGGAGAGAUCGAGCGGUUCAAGGCACGACUCGUGGCCAAGGGAUUUUCGCAGAAGUACGGCAUUGACUACGAAGAAACCUUCGCGCCAGUCGCCAAGUUCACUUCGAUCAGGAUCCUGCUCAGUUUGGCGGCCAAGUACAAUCUGACUAUGCACCAGAUGGAUGUCAAGACGGCGUUCCUAAACGGGCUGCUUGACGAAGAUAUCUACAUGGUGCAACCGGAUGGUUACACGGAUGAAGAACAUCCUGACCAUGUCUGCCAUCUCAAGCGCUCGCUCUACGGUCUUAAGCAGUCGCCACGAAUGUGGAACCAGACCAUUGACAAGUUCAUGCUGGAGCUGGGGUUCAAGAAGUGUGAAGCCGAUCACUGUAUCUACGUCAAGUGGGAUGACCAAGACAUGAUCUUCGUGGCUCUCUACGUCGAUGAUCUGGUCCUCGCCAGUAACAACGACGAGCUACUCAAGUCGACGAAGAAGGCCUUAAGUGAACGCUUCGACAUGACGGACUUGGGUUGCCUCAAGUACUUUCUCGGUAUGGAGAUCGAUCAAGAUGCGACUUCAGGAAAAGUGUCGGUGCGUCAGACCAAGUUUGCGAAGGACAUCCUGGAGAAGUUUGGCAUGGAGAACAGCAAACCUGUCAAGACCCCUCAAGACCCAGGACUCAAGUUGACCAAGGCCAUGUGCGAAUUAGCAGUGUUGCGCUGAAUGAGCAAUGUGUGCAUGUGUGUGCACAAGGGCAAUGUGGCAAAGGGGCAAAAGAGCAAAGACGCCGCGAAGCACGGCUCGCUCACGACCGACACGGAGAGGUAUCGGAUGUGAAACGAUUGCAAGGAAUUUGCCCCCAGGCAGGACUGAACUACCGACCUUCCGCUUACUAAGCGGGUGCUCUACCACUGAGCUAUAGGGGCUCUUACGAAAGAGCAAGCCGACCGCAUUUUCUUCACCUCGAUAAUACGAAUUACACACACCAACAAUCACACAGCACACCCUACAUCACCUUCUCACAUCCUCACACGGUCCUCUUCCCGUCCAUACCUUCCAAUUCACACCUCGUCGCGAUCAUGGCCUCCGACCGACCGUGCCGCUCGACAGCAAGCUCGUCAAUCCGGGAUGGCAUUAGCACCUGGAGAAACUCACGAGUCAGACCAAUCCGACACCACAAAGCGGCGACGUAUGUCUUCGUGGAAAGCUACGAGGGCAACUGAGUUGGAAAUGUGUUUGACUCAGCGGGGAACAGUGCGGCAAAUGGUGAGCGUCACCAACAGUAUCCUGCGCCGAAUGAGUCGGGCUGCUCUUGUUGUGCCGGAGAGAAAGGUAGUUGGCUUUCGGGCUGGCUGCUGUUUCCUUAGUGCGUUGAACAACCGGCUCAGAACUGGAGCGGACAAGGGGAAUCCGACUGUUUAAUUAAAACAAAGCAUUGUGAUGGCCGGAGACGGUGUUGACACAAUGUGAUUUCUGCCCAGUGCUCUGAAUGUCAAAGUGAAGAGAUUCAACCAAGCGCGGGUAAACGGCGGGAGUAACUAUGACUCUCUUAAGGUAGCCAAAUGCCUCGUCAUCUAACUAGUGACGCGCAUGAAUGGGAUUAAUGAGAUUCCCACUGUCCCUAUCUACUGUCUAGCGAACCCACAGCCAAGGGAACGGGCUUGGAAUAAUCAGCGGGGAAAGAAGACCCCUGUUGAGCUUGACUCUAGUCUGACGUUGUGAAAUGACUUGGGAGGUGUAGAAUAAGUGGGAGGCUCUGCCGUCUGUGAAAUACCACUACUCUCAAUGUUGUUUUACUUAUACCAUGAUGUAGCAUCUGUGUGGCCUCGCGGUCGCUCAGUUCUAGUUGUAAACUUGGGCUUUUGCCUGGGUGAGCUACGUGGAAGACAUCGUCAGGUGGGGAGUUUGGCUGGGGCGGCACAUCUGUUAAAUGAUAACACAGGUGUCCUAAGGUGAGCUCAAUGAGAACAGAAAUCUCAUGUAGAACAAAAGGGUAAAAGCUCACUUGAUUUUGAUUUUCAGUAUGAAUACAAACCGUGAAAGCGUGGCCUAUCGAUCCUUUAGUUCUUUUGAAUUUUAAGCUAGAGGUGUCAGAAAAGUUACCACAGGGAUAACUGGCUUGUGGCAGCCAAGCGUCCAUAGCGACGUUGCUUUUUGAUUCUUCGAUGUCGGCUCUUCCUAUCAUUGCGAAGUAGAACUCGCCAAUUGUUGGAUUGUUCACCCACUAAUAGGGAACGUGAGCUGGGUUUAGACCGUCGUG
rnacentral:rRNA from 1 species